GACGAACGCUGGCGGCGUGCUUAACACAUGCAAGUCGAACGGCAAGGCCCUGCUUGCUGGGUCCUCGAGUGGCGAACGGGUGAGUAACACGUGGGUGCUCUGCCCUGUACUUCGGGAUAAGCCUGGGCAACUGGGUCUAAUACCGGAUAGCAGCCACUUUUAGUGUGUUGGUUGGAAAGUUUUUUCGGUGUAGGGUGAGCUCGCGGCCCAUCAGCUUGUUGGUGGGGUAAUGGCCUACCAACGCAGCGACGGGUAGCCGGACUGAGAGGGUGGACGGCGACAUUGGGACUGAGGGACGGCAGCGGCGCGGACGGGAGGAAGCUGGGGGGAAGAUUGCACAAUGGGCGCAAGCUGGAUGCAGCGAGGCCUCGGGUGGGAAGACGGCCUUCGUGUUGAAAACAAGUUUCGCUAGGGACGAAGCUUUUUGUGACGGUACCUAGAGAAGAAGCACCGGCUAACUACGUG
rnacentral:rRNA from 1 species